GACGAACGCUGGCGGCGUGCUUAACACAUGCAAGUCGAACGGAAAGGUCCUGCUUUUGUGGGGUGCUCGAGUGGCGAACGGGUGAGUAACACGUGAGUAUCCUGCCCUUGUCUUUGGGAUAUCUUCAGGAAACUGGGGCUAAUAUCGGAUAGGAGCUCCUGCUGCAUGGUGGGGGUUGGAAAGUUUCGGCGGUUGGGGAUGGACUAGCGGCUUAUCAGCUUGUUGGUGGGGUAGUGGCUUACCAAGGCUUUGAAGGGUAGCCGGCCUGAGAGGGUGACCGGCCACAUGGGGACUGAGAUACGGCCCAGACUCCUACGGGAGGCAGCAGUGGAGAAUAUUGCGCAAUGGGCGGAAGCCUGAGACAGCAACGCCGCGUGCGUGAUGACGGCCUUCGGGUUGUAAACCGCUUUCGCCGGUGACGAAGCGUGAGUGACGGUAAUGGGUAAAGAAGCACCGGCUAACUACGUG
rnacentral:rRNA from 1 species